AGCAGCAGCCGCGGUAAUACGUAGGGUGCAAGCGUUAAUCGGAAUUACUGGGCGUAAAGCGUGCGCAGGCGGUUAUAUAAGUCAGAUGUGAAAUCCCCGGGCUCAACCUGGGAACUGCAUUUGAGACUGUAUGGCUAGAGUGUGUCAGAGGGGGGUAGAAUUCCACGUGUAGCAGUGAAAUGCGUAGAUAUGUGGAGGAAUACCGAUGGCGAAGGCAGCCCCCUGGGAUAACACUGACGCUCGUGCACGAAAGCGUGGGGAGCAAACAGGAUUAGAUACCCGCGUAGUCCCUGUCUCUUAUAC
rnacentral:rRNA from 1 species